GUCGAACGCUGGCGGCGUGCCUAACACAUGCAAGUCGAACGAGUGGCGGACGGGUGAGUAAUGUCUGGGAAACUGCCCGAGGGAGGGGGAUCUCUACUGGAAACGGUCGCUAAUACCGCAUACCAUCGGAUGUGCCCAGAUGGGAUUAGCUAGUAGGUGGGGUAAGGGCUCACCUAGGAGACGAUCCCUAGCUGGUCGGAGAGGAUGACCAGCCACACUGGAACUGAGACACGGUCCAGAAUCCUACGGGAGGCAGCAGUGGGGAAUAUUGCACAAUGGGCGCAAGCCUGAUGCAGCCAUGCCGCGUGUAUGAAGAAGGCCUUCGGGUUGUAAAGUACUUUCAGCGAGGAGGCGUUACUCGCAGAAGAAGCACCGGCUAACUCCGUGCCAGCAGCCGCGGUAAUUC
rnacentral:rRNA from 1 species